UAGCAUAUCAAUAAGCGGAGGAAAAGAAACUAACAAGGAUUCCCCUAGUAACUGCGAGUGAAGCGGGAAAAGCUCAAAUUUAAAAUCUGGCGGUCUUUGGCCGUCCGAGUUGUAGUCUGGAGAAGCGUCUUCCGCGCUGGACCGUGUAUAAGUCUCUUGGAACAGAGCGUCAUAGAGGGUGAGAAUCCCGUCUUUGACACGGACUACCAGUGCUUUGUGAUGCGCUCUCAAAGAGUCGAGUUGUUUGGGAAUGCAGCUCAAAAUGGGUGGUGAAUUCCAUCUAAAGCUAAAUAUUGGCGAGAGACCGAUAGCGAACAAGUACCGUGAGGGAAAGAUGAAAAGCACUUUGGAAAGAGAGUUAAACAGUACGUGAAAUUGCUGAAAGGGAAACGCUUGAAGUCAGUCGCGUUGUCCGGGACUCAGCCUUGCUUCGGCUUGGUGCACUUUCCGGAUGACGGGCCAGCAUCGAUUUUGACCGCUGGAAAAGGGCUGGAGGAAUGUGGCACCUUCGGGUGUGUUAUAGCCUCCAGUCGCAUACGGCGGUUGGGAUCGAGGAACGCAGCACGCCUCGUGGCGGGGGGUUUACCCUACCUUCGUGCUUAGGAUGCUGGCAUAAUGGCUUUAAACGACCCGUCUUGAAACACGGACCAAGGAGUCUAACAUGCCUGCGAGUGUUUGGGUGGAAAACCCGAGCGCGUAAUGAAAGUGAAAGUUGAGACCUCUGUCGUGGAGGGCAUCGACGCCCGGACCUGACGUUCUCUGACGGAUCCGCGGUAGAGCAUGUAUGUUGGGACCCGAAAGAUGGUGAACUAUGCCUGAAUAGGGUGAAGCCAGAGGAAACUCUGGUGGAGGCUCGUAGCGAUUCUGACGUGCAAAUCGAUCGUCAAAUUUGGGUAUAGGGGCGAAAGACUAAUCGAACCAUCUAGUAGCUGGUUCCUGCCG
rnacentral:rRNA from 1 species